rnacentral:rRNA from 1 species
GACAGAGGGGGCAAGCGUUGCUCGGAAUUACUGGGCGUAAAGGGCGCGUAGGCGGCCUUCUAAGUCGAACGUGAAAUCCCCGGGCUCAACCCGGGAACUGCGUCCGAGACUGAAAGGCUUGAAUCCGGGAGAGGGAUGUGGAAUUCCAGGUGUAGCGGUGAAAUGCGUAGAUAUCUGGAGGAACAUCGGUGGCGAAGGCGGCAUCCUGGACCGGUAUUGACGCUGAGGCGCGAAAGCCAGGGGAGCAAACGGG